AUUGAACGCUGGCGGCAUGCCUUACACAUGCAAGUCGAACGGCAGCACGGGAGCAAUCCUGGUGGCGAGUGGCGAACGGGUGAGUAAAGUAUCGGAACGUGCCCAGUCGUGGGGGAUAACGUAGCGAAAGGUACGCUAAUACCGCAUACGAUCUGUGGAUGAAAGCGGGGGAUCGCAAGACCUCGCGCGAUUGGAGCGGCCGAUAUCAGAUUAGGUAGUUGGUGGGGUAAAGGCUCACCAAGCCGACGAUCUGUAGCUGGUCUGAGAGGACGACCAGCCACACUGGGACUGAGACACGGCCCAGACUCCUACGGGAGGCAGCAGUGGGGAAUUUUGGACAAUGGGCGCAAGCCUGAUCCAGCCAUGCCGCGUGCAGGAUGAAGGCCUUCGGGUUGUAAACUGCUUUUGUACGGAACGAAAAGGUUUGACUUAAUACGUUGGACUCAUGACGGUACCGUAAGAAUAAGCACCGGCUAACUACGUGCCAGCAGCCGCGGUAA
rnacentral:rRNA from 1 species